GGCUGGCCUUAAACUCAGAGAUGCUCCGUGCCGCCUGAGUGCUGGGAUUAAAGACAUGUGCAGGAUUUGUAAAGAUUUUAGUUCCCUAUUCUAAUAAAUAAUAAAUUUCAUCGUAAUUGACAGAGGAGACAUAUAUUUACUGUUUCUUACUAUGGGGUCCUCGAGGUUGAUUGAUGGUCCUCUGUACCUACACAAACACUUAGUAACCCUCCUGCUGACCUCAGCAAAUGAUACUUUCCUUGCCAGUGAUUUUAGGCACCUUCUGGACCCGCCCACACCAUCCUAUAGGGCAAGCAGCCUGGCUUCUCUGGCGCACCUAUUGGGCAUGCUUAUGACUUCAGAAAGAUAACUAAUGGUUAUCAGCUGGGAUCUACUAGACUCUGCCAAAGUGCAAUCUGGAAACCUCUUGAGUGUGGCAGUGCUAGUGGAUUACCAGUGUGUGUGUCCUAUGUGUCCCUGGCUACUGGCCAGAUGGAGCCCAGCACCUCAACCAGGAAGCAUUUCACGAUCAAUGACUUUGAAAUCGGGCGUCCUCUGGGCAGGGGGAAAUUUGGGCGUGUGUACUUGGCUGGGCUCAAAGAAAAUCAUUUCAUCGUGGCCCUGAAGGUCCUCUUCAAGUCUGAGAUAGACAAGGAGGGAUUGGAGCACCAACUUCGCAGGGAAGUGGAGAUCCAGGCACACCUACAACACCCAAACAUCCUUCGCCUGUACAAGUACUUCUAUGAUGACAUUCCGAUAUACUUAAUUCUGGAGUAUGCUCCAGGAGGAGAGCUCUAUAAGGAGCUUCAGAGACAUCAGAAGUUGGACUAGCAUCGUACAGCCAUGAUAAUACAGGAGUUGUCAGAUUCCCUGACCUACUGCCAUGAGAAGAAGAUGAUUCACAGGGACAUCAAGCCAGAGAAUCUCCUGCUGGGCCUCAAUGGUGAGGUGAAGAUCUCAGAUUUUGGGUGGUCUCUGCAUUCCCCCCUCUCUCAGGUAGGUUGGAUGGGAUGGAGGAGAAAGACAAUGUGUGGGACUUAGGACUACUUGCCCACGGAAACGAUAGAGCAGAAACCAUACAAUGAGAUGGUUGAUCUGUGGUGCAGUUGGGUGCUCUGCUAUGAGCUGCUGGUGAGGAAGCCACCCUUUGAGAGCAACACCUCCAGUGAGACACAGAGAUGCAUGCGCCAGGUGGAUUUUAAGUUUCCUUCAUCAGUGCCUGCAGGAGUCCAGGACUUGAUCUCCAAGCUUCUUAGGUACCAUCCUUCAGAGUGGCUAAGCCUGGCCCAGGUCCUGAAGCACCCCUGGGUCAGGGAACACUCUCGAAGGGUGCUUCCUUGCUAGUUCAGGGGUCUUCCUGAGCCCUGUCCAUCUCUAUCCCUAUGUAUUUCUUCAGGAAGGUCUCCAGGCUCUGUUUGUUAGUGCAUGUGAUUUGCUUGUUUUCUCUUUUAUGAAGUGAUGUUAAUUAAAACUGAUUACUUUAGCAUCAAUCUUCUUGC